UCUUGUUAAAAAGCAGAUUCUGAUUGAGGGACCAAGAUUCUGCAUUUUUAGCAAGCU
rnacentral:pre_miRNA from 1 species